rnacentral:rRNA from 1 species
AUUGAACGCUGGCGGCAUGCCUUACACAUGCAAGUCGAACGGCAGCACGGGUGCUUGCACCUGGUGGCGAGUGGCGAACGGGUGAGUAAUAUAUCGGAACGUACCUUAUUGUGGGGGAUAACGCAGCGAAAGCUGUGCUAAUACCGCAUAAUCCCUAAGGGGGAAAGCGGGGGACCGUAAGGCCUCGCGCAAUUAGAGCGGCCGAUACCUGAUUAGCUAGUUGGUGAGGUAAAGGCUAACCAAGGCAACGAUCAGUAGCUGGUCUGAGAGGACGAUCAGGCACACUGGGACUGAGACACGGCCCAGACUCCUACGGGAGGCAGCAGUGGGGAAUUUUGGACAAUGGGGGCAACCCUGAUCCAGCAAUGCCGCGUGAGUGAAGAAGGCCUUCGGGUUGUAAAGCUCUUUUGUCAGGGAAGAAACAGCAGCUCUAACACAGUAUGCGAAUGACGGUACCUGAAGAAUAAGCACCGGCUAACUACGUGCCAGCAGCCGCCGUAA